rnacentral:rRNA from 1 species
AUGGAGGGCACAGGCAGCCGAUGCCCAAUUGCUCGCCUGAACACCAAACUUUGGCGCACAAGCAAAGCGCUUAGGAACUGGAGCAGGGUGCAUGUGGGCGACUUGCAACGACAACUUGGGAUUUCCACGGAGUUGAUCUUUCAGCUGGAAACUGCACAGGAGUCCUGUCAACUCACUGAAGAUGAGCGCGAGCUGCGUACCAAACUUAAGUCUAGGACAUUGGGGUUGGUCGUGCUACUUAAGAUCAAGAGAAGGCAACGCAGCAGGGUCUUAUGGCUUAAGGCUGGGGACGCCAACACAAAAAAAAUUCAUCGGAAAGCAAAUGCUCGGCACAAGAGGAACACAAUCCAUGUCUUGCAUGGGGCACAGGGGCCCGUUACCUCGCCUGAAGCAAUGACACAGUUGGCACACUCAUAUUUCACGGAGAGUUUUGGAAAAAUUCAGACUCCCACUGCCACCUUUGACUGGGAUGAGCUUGAGCAGGUGGACCUGCAUGACAUUGAUGUGGAGUUCAGCAUGGAGGAAGUUAAGGCGGCCAUUGAUGAUAUUCCGACCGACAAAGCACCGGGCCCGGAUGGUUUUUCUGGAGGCUUCUUCCGGACCUGCUGGGACACAAUUAAACAUGACCUGCGCGGCCAUCAACCAUUUGUACCACAUGGAUAG